GUCUUCGUGGAGUACUGAACUUGCUCCCUACUGUUAGAAAGAUGGGAGGCUGACUUUAGGGAGAGUCGGUGGUUCGAGCCCACCCGAAGACA